CCCCUAGAUGUUCUGGGCCGCACGCGCGCUACACUGAACAGUUCAACAAGUCUUAACCUUGGCCGAUAGGUCUGGGUAAUCUUGUGAACGUGCGUCGUGAUAGGGAUAGAUUAUUGCAAUUAUUAAUCUUGAACGAGGAAUUCCUAGUAAACGCAGAUCAUCAAUCUGCAUUGAUUACGUCCCUGCCCUUUGUACACACCGCCCGUCGCACCUACCGAUUGGAUGGUCCGGUGAGGCCUCGGGAUUGUGGCCGGUGCAUUCAUUUGUGUCGGUUGCGAGAACUUGUCCAAACCUUAUCAUCUAGAGGAAGGUGAANUCGUAACA
rnacentral:rRNA from 1 species